rnacentral:lncRNA from 1 species
UUUCUACAGUGUGCGAUGAAGGUGGACUUAACUUUUAAAGGCAAAGAGACAAACCACUGCCAGGAUAAAUGAGAAGACGCAGAGGGGGCAACUGGCACCACACAGGAGAGGAAAUGCUUUCUGGCUGGUUCCUAAUUUUCAUAUCCGGGUUAUCGUCAGAAAUCAUUUUCAGAGGAAGCUGAAAAAUGAUGGACAAGGAAAGUCGAGAAAGAGGAAGACAUUAACUGAGCGUCCUGUCCACACAGCUGCCAGGAAGGGUUUCAUCAUCAUCCUGGCACACAGGAGUAAGUUCCCAAGUCCUAUCAGGAGCCAUGUGAGUGGAUAUCUUCAAAGAGCACAUUGGAUACAACCUGGUAUCUCAGUGUCAGGACUAUAAAAGUAUGACAAUUUUUUCAAAGCAAUGAUUUGUAAUUACUAGAAUAUUGUCUUACAGUGACACAUGUAAGCAUGCUUUAAAAUGCAUACAAGUUUCAAUAAAGACCAAAGCUUUGCUAACACAAUAGAAGAAGAAGUCUUACAGUCUGCCUCCACUGCCUUUUGUGUGUACCAUGAGCAAGUCUUUCCCUUUUUGGAAAAUAUGCUCAACAUAACUACAUUUGCAUCAUUUAAGAAUGUAUACACUAAAUGUAUAUAAUGAUUAUUUUUAGUGGAAAAUAUAUAAUUAAUUCUGUUUCCUUACAUUUAUUUAUAAAGGUAAAGGCAUAAUUUUCAAGAUAGAGACUUUUGAAUACCGAAUAUAACUUACAUUAGAAAAUGACAGAAUCAGGUUUUAUUAUUCUUUCCAUAGACUUCUAUAUAGUUAAAAAGACAUUUGUCUUCGUUUGGAUACUUGGUUUUCUUUUUUGACACCGUCUCAUGCAGACCAGGCUGCAUUCUAGCAUACAAGACAGCCAAGAAUGACUUUAAAAUUCUGAUCUAUCUACUCUUCCACCUCCAGUGCCCCCUCUCACCCAAUUUAUGCAGUGCUGAGGACAAAAUCCAGGGUUUGUGUAUGUCAGGAAGUUACUCUGUCAACUCAGCUACAGACACAAUUUAUUUGUUUGUUUGUUUGUUUAUUAAUUUAUUUAAAUUUACAUCCCAAUGACAGCCCCCCUUUCUUCCCAGUUCCAUCCUUACAAAUCCCUCCCACCAUCACCCAUCCCAUUCUCAGAAAAGAAGAGCCCUCCUUGGUACCACCCCUCUCUGGGGCAUCUAGGCCCAGCAUGACUAGGCAUAUCAUCUUCCACUGAGGCUAAACUGAGCAGUCCAGGUAGGGGAAGAGAAUCGAAUGGCAGGGAACAGAGACUGAGACAGCCCCCAUAAAUUUGAUUUAAAAUAUCAAAUUAAAUGGCAGACUAUAGGGACUCCUAUCUUAUAUCUGAAUUUUCCUUACAAGUCAUGUUCUAUUUUGAGAAAGCAUGUGUCAAUCUAGAGGGAAAUUUUCAGAAUACUGGCAAUCAACAGUAACAAGAUUCUGAGUAAACAUUUUACUAAUUAUUCUUCAAUAGUUCUCUGACAUGAAAGUUAAUAUGUCUUCCUGAAUUAUUAUAUAUUAAAUCAGUCAAGGGUUUUUUUUUACUAUGCCUAAGCAAAUUAAAAUGAGCAAUCAUUACACUUGGAGUCAUAAAAUGAAACUAGUAUCUAGUUAAUACACAACAUUGCAUAAAAUCUUUCUCAUACACACACAAGUACAUACCCACACACAUGUGGAAACUAAUACUUUGAUGUCUUCUGAGAAAUGUCUUUUUCAACACGUUGUAUUUUUUUUUUUUGAGAAUUUCAUACAAUUUAGUUUGGUCAUAUUCAUCUUCUCUAUGAACUACUCCCCAGUCCAUUACCCUUCACACUGUCCUAAUAAUGUGUC